rnacentral:rRNA from 1 species
GACGAACGCUGGCGGCGUGCCUAACACAUGCAAGUCGAGCGAAUGAAGUUCCUUCGGGCAUGGAUUUAGCGGCGGACGGGUGAGUAACACGUGGGCAACCUGCCUCAUAGAGGGGAAUAGCCUCCCGAAAGGGAGAUUAAUACCGCAUAAGAUUGUAGUACCGCAUGAUACAGCAAUUAAAGGAGCAAUCCGCUAUGAGAUGGGCCCGCGGCGCAUUAGCUAGUUGGUGAGGAAAUGGCUCACCAAGGCGACGAUGCGUAGCCGACCUGAGAGGGUGAUCGGCCACACUGGAACCAAGACAGGGGCCAGGCUGCGACGGGAGGCCGCAGAGGGGGAUCCUGCGAAAGGAGCGAAAGCGUGAGGGAGCAGCGGCGCGGGGGUGAGGAAGGUGUUCGGACCGGGAAACACGGUGAUGAGGCGAGAACAAAGGUGAAGGAAACUGUGCACGCCAGGACGGGACCUAAGCAGAAAGCCACAGCUCACUACGUG